AUCAGAUAUUAGAGUAUACUCCUAAUACUGAUCCAGACUAUGAGUCAUUAUUGAUGGCAUUGCAAGCAUCAGAGACAUUGUGUUCACAAGUUAAUGAUGGAGUGAGAGCUAAGGAAAACGCUGAAUCACUUGAGUGGCUUCAAUCUCAUGUACACGUCACAUUGAAUGAGAAACUGAUCUUUAAUUCACAAACUAACUUCAUGGGCUCAAGGAAACUCCUCCAUUGGGGAAAAUUCACAAAAGUACGAGGUAACAAGGAGAUGGUCGGUUUCU